UCGUUCUGUCUGUCUGUGUGUCUGUCUCCCUGGCUGGGUGUGGCUGACCCACUUCUGAUUCCCGCCAACUCACCUCCGCAGCUGCUGCUCAUCAUCCUGAUUACACUACUCACCUUCAUCUGCUUAUAUGCCCGGUUCUCUCAUCCAGUAUUCACCAGUUCGUCGUUUCACCUCGCUGAAUCCAUCUGCCUACUCCUCUGCCUGCCACAUCCAGCCACGUACCUCUCGUCUGAGUAUCUCCGUGCUUCCACGCACACCAGCUCCAACCUGUCAACUAUCGCCAGCUCUGGAUCCCCGGCUUUCCUCGCUAGUGUACCUUCGUGCUUCCACGCACACCAGCUCCUUCCUGUCAACUCUCGCCAGCUCUGGUUCCCCGGCUCUCCUCGCCAGAGUAUCUCCGUGCAUAUCCGCACCACCUCAGUUGACAAACCCUGGCUUUGGGUUUAUAGGAUAUUAAAUCCCUCGUCUGACUCAAUAUUAGGUUUUUGGUUAAUAAACCUUUUUCUACCUCAAAA